rnacentral:rRNA from 1 species
GACGGAAGGUGCAAGCGUUGCUCGGAAUCACUGGGCGUAAAGGGUGCGUAGGCGGCUGUGCAAGUCUGACGUGAAAGCCCCGGGCUCAGCCCGGGAAGUGCGCUCGAAACUGCACGGCUCGAGUGCCGGAGGGGAGAGUGGAAUUCCUGGUGUAGCGGUGAAAUGCGCAGAUAUCAGGAGGAACACCGGUGGCGAAGGCGGGUCUCUGGGCCGAUACUGACGCUGAGGAGCGAAAGCGUGGGGAGCGAACAGG